UCCUAUGAUAGCAUGAAAUCUUUGAGACCUGAUUACCCUUUUGAUGCCAACUAUUAGCAUGUUUCUGCGGAA